ACGGAGGAUGCGAGCGUUAUCCGGAUUUAUUGGGUUUAAAGGGUGCGUAGGCGGAUAGAUAAGUCAGUGGUGAAAACCUGCAGCUUAACUGUAGACUUGCCGUUUAUACUGUCAGUCUUGAGUAUGGUCAAGGUAGGCGGAAUGUGUAAUGUAGCUGUGAGUAGCCGAGAUAUUACCGCGAACAACGAAUGCGAAUGCAGCGUGCUGGGCAAGCCCUGAAUCUGGUGCUCCGUAACGUCAGCAUCGACCAG
rnacentral:rRNA from 1 species